UUGCUUGUUUUUCAUGCUAAACAUCACCAAACAACUAAAAACACUAAGAUACCUUGAAAUCUAACCAAAUAAAUCAUCAAAUCUUCUCUCCCUAAAUUCGGUCAGCCAUGAAUCCUUCAUGAGAUCUUGAAUUUUAACCAUGGUAAUUGAAAAAGAAUGCAUAGGAAAGGUAGAUCACAAGCUAGAAUUAAGAAAUUUUACCUUUACUUGCUUAAUUCCUUGAAAUCCAAUGAAUUUUCUCUUGAUUUUCUUCUCUAGGGUUUGUUCUAUGCUUUUUUCCCUUUUGUUCUUGCCUUGGCCGGCCAAGAGAAAUGAGAUG
rnacentral:lncRNA from 1 species